CUGGGCUAACAGGCCUCAGUGAGAACUCCAAUGGCGUCUGUGUCAGCAUGCCCACACCAGGCCACGACAAUGGCCGCCACCAAUGUCCCAGUCCCUGGAGAGGUCUCACCUCUCACCGAGAUGCACUCAGGGCCUAUUAGUUUUUAUUGAACUACCUACCUGACAGUGGCCCUUUGAUGAAAGAAAGCAGGAGUUGAGAAGAAGCCAAACUUGCAACAUCUACCAGAACCAGUGAUCUACAAGGGCCUGAAAUCUGAGCAGCUUUUUCGAUAGCUCAGUCAGGCAUGUGCAAAAACACUUGAGAGCAAUAAGCUGUUCAGCUAUUGAUAUAUUACAGUUGGCACCUAUGGAGAGAUACCUAAGAGCGCGGGAAAAAAGAUGCUUACCACCAGCUUUAAAUUGGGUGUGGUCGUAUGACUUGCUUCAACCAGUAAAAUGUGAGUGGAAAUGUGAGUGUGUUACUUCCAGGGCUAAGCAUUUAGUGAAAAGGCUGCUGGGAUUAAGGAAGUGUGUGCUGAUGUGGAGGUGGAUGGCUACACCUUCCCAUACAGGACAGCCUCCCUGUACAGGUGGCUGAAUGCACAGUGGACUACGCAUGAACAAAAAUAAGCCUUUAUUUUUUGAGUCACCACGAUUUUGAAGGUUGCUGUUUCCCAGAUAUAGGCAAACUAAGGCUGACUGAUGUAACCACUUUUUCAGCAGCUUCCAGGGUUAUC